rnacentral:lncRNA from 1 species
CGGAAGUAACCAAUUAUCUCCCAUUCUACAUGCAAAAGUACAUAGAAACUAUAUAUUUUUGGAAUCAGUGUGAAAGAAGCUAUCAUAUGAGACCGGAAGUAGCAUAUUAUCUCCCUUACAUCACUCAAAAAGAUAAUUAAACCAUUAUUUAUAUCAUCAGUAUGAAGAAACUACCUUCUGAUCCAAAUUUCUUUGUUGUGGAAAGACUUUCAAUUGUUCUCUGAACAAUUGGUUUUUAAUUAUUAUUAUUUUUUUCUUCCGCCAAAUUUUGUUCUUGCGCAAAAUGUUUGUUUCGCAAUGUGUCGCUUAGAUAUUUCUCAUAUUGUAUCGUAUAGUGUAUGCGCUUUUAAAUUUCACCCUGCUAAGACGAACAAUUUUCUCUGUAAAGAUUAUCUCCUAUCACUGUUUAUCAUGUGUGUGUGUGUGUGCAUCUCCUUCGUAACAGAAAAAGAUAGCGACAAAAUUCUUUUUACAAAUUGUUCGUUACAUCCUCAGGAAUUUUUGGCUCAUUUGGGUCGAAGCGAUUCGCUGAAAUUUUAUAGGAGUUAUCUACCUUUACAAAAUAAAUUUGUCGGUAUGUUUUUUUAACUCAAAAACAGUUAACCGUAUAACCAUGGAAUGUUUUUAUUUGAGUCCCCUAUGUCCUAACUUAGAAAAUGAGGUCAAGGUCAAAGGUCAAGGUCAAGAUCUAAUUUGUGACUUUUGCUUGUUUUUGCAUUUUCUC